CCUACGGGCGGCAGCAGUAGGGAAUCUUUCACAAUGGGCGAAAGCCUGAUGGAGCAACGCCGCGUGCAGGAUGAAGGCCUUCGGGUUGUAAACUGCUUUUAUAAGCGAGAAAUAUGAUGGUAACUUAUGAAUAAGGAUCGGCUAACUACGUGCCAGCAGCCGCGGUCAUACGUAGGAUCCGAGCAUUAUCCGGAGUGACUGGGUGUAAAGAGUUGCGUAGGUGGCAUAAUAAGUAGCUAGGGAAAUCUGGUGGCUCAACCAUUCAGACUAUUAGCUAAACUGUUAAGCUCGAGACCGUUAGGGGUAACUGGAAUUUCUAGUGUAGGAGUGAAAUCCGUAGAUAUUAGAAGGAACACCAAUAGCGUAGGCAGGUUGCUGGGACGGUUCUGACACUAAGGCACGAAAGCGUAGGGAGCAAACGGGAUUAGAUACCCCUGUAGUC
rnacentral:rRNA from 1 species